UACGAAGGGGGCUAGCGUUGCUCGGAAUUACUGGGCGUAAAGCGCACGUAGGCGGCUUUCUAAGUCGGGGGUGAAAUCCUGGAGCUCAACUCCAGAACUGCCUUCGAUACUGGAAAGCUCGAGUCCGGGAGAGGUGAGUGGAACUGCGAGUGUAGAGGUGAAAUUCGUAGAUAUUCGCAAGAACACCAGUGGCGAAGGCGGCGACCUGGUCCGUGACUGA
rnacentral:rRNA from 1 species